UUAGUCACAUGGUCUGAAUUUUUUGGUAGACCCGUGUGGUGCCAGGAGUUGGACUCAAUGAUCCUUGUGGGUCCCUUCCAACUCGGGAUAUUCUAUGAUUCUAUGAUUCUGUGGUAACUUCUGUUUGAUGUUGGCCAUGUGUUGUCACCAGGAGCACAGGCGGGGCAUGGAGUGGUGACCCAGUGCCAAGCCAAAAGACAGCAGGGGCCUGUGCUGCCUCUCCCAACACACCUCUGAGUUCAGCAACCUCUGGCUCUCACCUAUGGAGGGUGACUCCUGCUUGGAGCUGGCAGCACCCACAUGCUGAGUGUGAGCCUGGCUCAUCUGAUGGCCAGCCUAGAGGUCCGUUUGCAAAACUGAAGUAUGGAGUAGCUAGCAAGUCGGAGGUGGAACAUGCACAAGCGUUGAUCACAACAAACAGUGAAGCCACUCAUCUGCAUCCUGUUUCCUGGAACAACCGAGCUCAGUUACAACCUCAGUUGCAUCUGUGCAUCCCAGUGGUUUUCAGCUAACUCUGUGACUCCUGCUUACCCAGAUAAGGGGAAGCAGAUGGAGACUCUGCAACCUCAGAAGAAGUGCUGCAGUGGUGGAGAGGGUUCACCUUACUGCCUGCAGUGCAGAGAGCCUCUACAGAGGCACUGACUGUGACACAGGACUUUACUGUGUCCCAGUGAGGAAAAGGUGUUUUUAUGAGAAGAAGUAAAAACACUUGUAACAACCACAACACUAUUUAAUGGUGUCGUUUUCCAGGGCAAAAGUCACACUCCACACUUGCAACGUGAUGUAUCUUAUAUGUCUUAUAACUUAACCUGCUACUGCAGGUUCAUGUUCUGGUCCCCAUUGACAAUAAAGCAAUAUAGCUGAUUGGGGAUAGUAGAAAC
rnacentral:lncRNA from 1 species